GUGAUAUGUGCUGAAAUUGCAUUUAGGUAUUGCUGGAGAAUCAUGAUAAACUGCAACAGCCCUUAGAGAUGAGCUUGCAUAGAAAGGCCGCCUGCACACUGAAGGACAGAGGUUAGCGUUCUACCUAAGGGUUACAUUUAAUAUCUUGUGGUUCAAUCGUCUCCAUUGAUGGACUCCACCUGUAUACAUUGACUUCAUGCGAAUGGCAUAGUUGGAUACACCAAUUGCAUUCUUGAUGACUUUCUCAGGGGAACCAAUUUCCUCCUCAUCCAGUUGUCUCAUUUGGGUCCAGUGAAUUUACUCAAUAUCCUGAUGUUUUGCACCAUAACUCAAUUCAG
rnacentral:lncRNA from 1 species